UAUUUUGAAUCUAUUCAAUAUAAUUCCAAAAGAGGCAACAAGUUUCAUCAAGUAUAAAAGGAACUCAUAUGCAUUCAAUGCUUUGAAAAUUAGAAGUGAUAAAUCCUCAAAAUCCAAAAAGAGAGAAUUUGAAGUAUUUUUAAGCGAUACUUAGAAAUUCUAAGUUUGCUUGAACCAAUCAAGAUUCAACUUAGUCAUGUCUAACAUAGUCUAUCCUUAGACAACAACUCUCAAUCUCACGAUUAAGGAUUGGAAGGUAAUCCAGCUUCAAUUUGGUGGUUGACCCUUAGACUGGAUCGGAAGGCAAUAGCAGGUAAUUAAGAAUAAGACAAUUUGGCGAAAGAUCCUUGAUUCGAAAGACUAGUGAGUAGUGAUGAAGGAGUUAAGUAACAAAGCUGCUUUGUGAUCAAAUUUUAAUUUAAGAGAAGUUAAUCGCACUCGACCAGAAAGUUUAAGGUUGAAGAGAAAUGAUGAGUGUUCGUUUUACAAUUACAAGGUAGCCAGUCGGCAGGUCCUGUAAACAAUGCAAAAGUAAUGCGAGAGUCAUUUUACUGUCAUAAAGUAAAAAAUUCGAACCCCUUACAAUGUGU